GAGCAUGACGCACAUGACAAGGAACAGGUGAGAUGCAGGAUCAGCCAACGCCGGUCGAACUGAUCAAUGCGGUGGCGGAAUUUCUCCGUGCCGAUGUCGCGCCGCAAUUGUCCGGUCACGCGGCAUUCAAGCUGCGGGUCGGGCUCAACGCGCUCGAUCUGGUCGCGCGUCAGCUCACCCUUGAGGCAUCCGGCGAUGCCGCCGAGCUUGAACGGCUGGCAAAGCUGCUCCGCGCCUCCGGCUCGCUGGAAGACCUCAACCGGCUGCUGUCGGCGCGCANNGGGCUUCCAGACGCCGGGGCUGACCGGACACGUCUGGCAGACCACGAUGGACAAGCUGGCC
rnacentral:misc_RNA from 1 species